rnacentral:rRNA from 1 species
UAACAAAAACAUGGUUUUUUGAUAAUAAUUUAAAAUUGGUUCUGCUCACUGAAUAUAUUAUAUAAUUUAAAGAGCUGCAGUAUCCUAACUGUGCAAAGGUAGCAUAAUAAUUUGUUUUUUAAUUGUAAACUUGGAUGAAAGAGCUGAUGAGAUAUAAACUGUCUCUUAAUAAAUUAUAGAAAUUGAAAUUUAAGUUAAAAUUCUUAAAUGUAAUUAUUAGACGAGAAGACCCUAUAGAAUUUUAUAUAUUUUAUUUAUUUACCAAUAGGGGAUUUUGUUAUUUAAAAAGUAAAAUAAAUAAAAUUUAUUUAAUUGGGAGGAUUAUUAAAUUUAAUAAACUUUAAAAUUAAAAAUUAACAAUAAUUUUUGGAAGAUUGAUUAGUAAAUAAUUAAAAGAUUAAAUUACCUUAGGGAUAACAGCGUAAUAUUUUUGGAGAGAUCAUAUUAAUAAAAAUGUUUGCGACCUCGAUGUUGAAUUAAGAUAAAAAUUAAAUGCAGAAGUUUAAUAUUUAAGUCUGUUCGACUUUUAAAAUCUUACGUGAUCUGAGUUC